GAAAGCGCCCAACGAUCUGGCUGCGACAUCUGUCACCCCAUUGAUCGCCAGGGUUGAUUCGGCUGAUCUGGCUGGCUAGGCGGGUGUCCCCUUCCUCCCUCACCGCUCCAUGUGCGUCCCUCCCGAAGCUGCGCGCUCGGUCGAAGGGGACGACCUUCCCCGAUAGAGGAGGACCGUUCUUUGGUCAAGGGUAUACGAGUAGCUGCGCUCCCCUGCUAGAACCUCCAAACAAGCUCUCAAGGAAAGCGCCCAAAUGUCCAUGGAUGGAUGGAUGGAUAAAAAAGAUGUGGUGUGUGUGUGUAUAUAUAUAUAUAUAUAUAUAUAUAUACAC
rnacentral:snRNA from 1 species